UAGGGAAUCUUCGGCAAUGGGGGCAACCCUGACCGAGCAACGCCGCGUGAGUGAAGAAGGUUUUCGGAUCGUAAAGCUCUGUUGUAAGAGAAGAACGUGUGUGAGAGUGGAAAGUUCACACAGUGACGGUAACUUACCAGAAAGGGACGGCUAACUACGUGCCAGCAGCCGCGGUAAUACGUAGGUCCCGAGCGUUGUCCGGAUUUAUUGGGCGUAAAGCGAGCGCAGGCGGUUUAACAAGUCUGAAGUUAAAGGCAGUGGCUUAACCAUUGUUCGCUUUGGAAACUGUUAAACUUGAGUGCAGAAGGGGAGAGUGGAAUUCCAUGUGUAGCGGUGAAAUGCGUAGAUAUAUGGAGGAACACCGGUGGCGAAAGCGGCUCUCUGGUCUGUAACUGACGCUGAGGCUCGAAAGCGUGGGGAGCAAACAGG
rnacentral:rRNA from 1 species